rnacentral:lncRNA from 1 species
AGAGGGUUUUCCACUUUCAGUAGAUCUGUAAGGGACUUUGGAGAGUUUAUCUAGUUUAACCAUCUUGUUUCAGGGACAGGAAACUGAGGCCAGAGUAGUUAAAUAAUGCUCGUGGUUCCCCAGGCAGUUAUUAGUGCAGCUGGGCUGAUCUCCAAGUCUCAUUCUUAUUCUGGUGUCUUCCCCAUAAUUCUGACCUUUGUUAUUGUCACAUAAUUUAUCCUGGGACUAAAUCCUCUUAGCUAUGAAAGCUAUAUGCUUGGAGCCAUUGAGGAUGCUGAUAAGAACUUUGCUGAGUGUGUGUGAGAUUGCACCUGCUGCCUUCUCUUCUUUUUACCCACCCAGAGAAUCUAAGAUUGU